UGGAACUUCUAGAAGUGAAGGACAUAAUUUCAAAAUCUAAAAUUUAGCGAGUGGUCAACAGCUGGGUAGGGAAUUCGUGGGCCAGAAGUUGCAUAUAACGAACGCAGCAAAGGGAGAGUGGAGGUGGAUAAUGGGAGUGAGAGAUUAAAGACAGAGAGCACAGCAUGGGAGGAUCCUGUAUAUUGGGGUCCCACCAGUAGAACAUAAAGGAAAUGGAGAAAAGGCAACAUUUGGAGGCAUGAUGGCUGCAAACUUUCUAGAAGUGGUGAAAAAUAGAUCCACAGAACCAGAAAACUGGAAGUAUUUGAAGCGAGUCGUGUGUGAUUUGACCCGAGUCGACUUCUCGACAACCACAACAGAAGCUAAAAGGCUGGAAUGAUCUCUGAAAAGUAACACAAGCGAAUGAAUGUCAACUUAGAAUUAGGCCCAGCAAAAGUACUUUUCAAGAACCAAAACAGAAAGAAAAGAAAAAAACAUUUGUUUUUACAUUUACGGGUAACCAGAAGCUAAGAGUGCCUCCAAAGAAACUUCCCAAGGAUUUGCUUCAGGAAGGAAAAUAAUUCCAGAAAGCCAGCCUGAGAUGCAAGAAGGGAUGGAGAACCUUCAGAAUGGUAAAUAAUGUUUCAUAGAAUUUGCCAGUGAAGCUUUCCGGUGAUGAGUUUACCCUGUGGGAGCAUUUUCACCAUAGAUACAAGUUAUACAAUGUAUAGGAUCGUUCGAGAUUUCUAUAUCUAUUUAAGUCUGUUUAGAUCUGCAGGAUGGGGAUGCCCAUAAUGGUAACUGCUCAUGGAGCUGAUAGGAGAAGAGACAAGUGAGUAAUUGCAACGCCCUCAAGAAUGGCCUGGUACACAGGAAGCACUAUAAAAUCUGCUUUAAAACAUAGGAUGAUAAAAACGGUCUCAUGUAGGGCAGCUGAAAUCACGGACACAGUAUUACUGCUGCUCCUGCUGUUUAUCGAGUGCAACUCCGUCAUCGACUAGAUGAGAAACAGGGGCCCAGAGAGGGCAGAGAUUCGGCCACGCGCGGCCACUGGCUCCCCGACCUGGAAAGCAGCAGCACUCCGGGCUCUAGCCCAGCUCUGCCACCAGUGAUGGGUUGUGUGACUGUGGCCCCGUCUGAGUUCUCUCUGGGCCUCAGUUUCCCUGUUGGUGAACCCAGAGGAAGGGCCAGGCAUCCGUCCCCUGGCCCCCAGCUCCAUGUGACCGGUGAGGGACAUUAUGCCGAAGCCCCCGUGCCAGGAGGGAUGUUAGGACCAAGCCCUGGCACUGGGAGGUUUGGGGGUGCCUGUUGCUGAAGUCCCUCGAGGAUCUGCAAGGGCUAGGGAUGUGGGAAUGAGGGUUGAACUGUCUUCUUGGAAUCCAAGGCUUGAGAACUCGCAGCCUCAAACCAGUGGCUAUCACACCUACGCCCUUUGAGAAGGUGUUACCCAAGGACUAGCUCGUAAGCAUCUUCCCACGGGGGAGGGAAGGGCAGCGGUGACAACUCAGGGGAGAAUGUGCUGCAGGCCUCUGGCUGGGGGGCCUCAGGCAGGCAGGCCUUCCUCCCUGGGCCUCUGACACCUGCUCCGCCUAGACUUGCCUGAGCCGAGGCAGGUCACCUGGGUUCUGGCCUUGCACUCCACGCCUCCCGUCCGUCCCUGCCCUUCUCUGGGCCUCAGUCCCCCGUGAAAGAAAUGGGAUGGGGGAGAGUGUGGGUAAAGGCUCCACCCGACCUGCCCAUCAGGCACGUGUGACUGUCCCUCCCAGCGCGUGGCCCUUAUCUCCACCUGCCCCCACCACAGGGGAAAACCAGCGCGAGCACAGGGACCGCUGCCCAGCCACUCUCCUGUCUGACCUCUCCCAGUGCAAGUGCUCCUCUCCUGUGCGUGGAGAGCAAACCCCCGCCCAUGGCAGGGCUGGUAGGAUUACCAGGGCCUGGUAUUGCCUCCGUGCUCCGUAAUGCAGAAAGUAAUGCCCAGCCCCCCACUGCCCCCCCUGCCCCCGGCGGGCCUCAGGGGCUGGAAUCAGCUCUCAGGCCUUUGCAGGCCCCAGGCCUCCACCCCGGAGGGAACCAGAACUCAGAAGCAGCCUUGGCUGAGGUUCCAGAGCAGAUGCCGGAGUUCCCCUCCUGGAGCCCCCCCCCCAUAUCCUGCUGGGCCUCCAGGCCAACCCCCAAAUUAGUUAUCAUUUCGUUAGGGCCACCAGUCUGCAGGCAGCUAAUUGCUCCCAUUAGCAAAACAGGAAGACCUUAAUGAGCAAUUAAUUAAUAAAACUGAUGACUUCCAGAGCCACUUCUCUCAACAGGGACUGAUUUUAUUAACCACUUAGUCACUCGCACAAAGGCUGAUAUCUGCGCAUUUGCACCCUCCGAGAUCCUGGGCAGGAAAUAGAAGGUAGCCGGCUCUCAUUUACAGACAGUCAGUGCUGUGCCAAGUGGCUGCGACUGGCUCAUCCCGCCCCUCCAGUGAAGUACUAUUACUAUGCUCUUUCUGCCCUUGACAAAUCUGAGGCUCAGCCAGGCUCUUCUCUUCCCUGAGGUCACAGAACUAAGUACGAAUGGAUCCCGGUGGGUCUGCCUCCAAAGGUAUUUUCCCCUUGAGUGGCCCCUCAAAUACCAAUUCCCUUUCAUGGAUGGAAGGCUCCAGAACCUGUGAGCGAAGGGGUUGUUGCCUGACUCCCUCACGGCCUGGCAGGAAAGACCUGAGUUUGGACUCAGGUCUGUUCUCUCUCUGGAAGCAACUCUAUUACUUUAGAGAUGAAGGAAGCCCUCAGGCCCUCAGACACACUGAGGCGGGCUUGUCCCCUCCAGCCGCACUCCUGCCCCUCAAGCCACCAGCCCCAGUCUUCAAGUUCCAGAUCUUUCCUCUGCUGCUCACUACCUCUUUCUCGUCUGUGGUUCUCCCCACGAGGCAAUGUUAAUGUAGUUUUAGAAGGCUUAGGAAGAUUAAUGUUUAAUUUUAGUUUCAUGCAUAGUCUUUAUUUUAUUUUUUUAAAGAUUUUAUUUUUAAGUCUCUACGCCCAACAUGGGGCUCAAACUUACAACCCCGAGAUCAAGAGUUGCCUGCUUUACUGACUGAGACAGUCAGGCGUCCCAAGCUUCAUGCACAGCCUUCAAUUAUGGCAUGUGACUCUGGUCAUUUGACACAGGGAUAUUGUGCCUUCUUUUAAAACGUACCAUUUUGAAUUACAUUUAAAAAAACUAUAGCUCUAAAGGAAAGUAUUAGGUAAAUAUUUGGCAGAUUUGACUUCUAGAUUUGGAAAAAAAAAAAAAGCAAAACAGUGAGAAUGAACGUGCCUGCCUGAAGUUGGGGAGACCGGAUCUGGGUUACCCGCUCUCUUCUUAACCAGACAGGUCCAGGGAGGGGUUUGUCAGCCCCAAGAGAGAAGUCCUUUCCCAGAGGGGAAGUUGGCCUUCCUCCUGAGCCAACAGGCUCAUGCUGUAGCUGGUUAUUUAUUUCUCUGAAUGUUAUCAAUGUGCUACAUGCACACAGUUUACAAUCA